rnacentral:tRNA from 3 species
UGGGCUGUCGCCAAGCGGUAAGGCAACGGACUUUGACUCCGUCACCCGUGAGUUCGAAUCUCGCCAGCCCAGCCA